GGUGGUGUAGCUCAGUUGGUAGAGCAUUCGGCUCAUAUCCGAACGGUCAGGGGUUCAAGUCCCUUCGCCACUA
rnacentral:tRNA from 1 species